UACGUAGGGUGCAAGCGUUGUCCGGAAUCAUUGGGCGUAAAGAGCUCGUAGGCGGCUCGGUAAGUCGGGUGUGAAACCCCCAGGCUCAACCUGGGGACGCCACCCGAUACUGCUGUGGCUAGAGUCCAGUAGGGGAGCGUGGAAUUCCUGGUGUAGCGGUGAAAUGCGCAGAUAUCAGGAGGAACACCAGCGGCGAAGGCGGCGCUCUGGGCCGGUACUGACACUGAGGAGCGAAAGCGUGGGUAGCAAACAGG
rnacentral:rRNA from 1 species